UCCACGUCAGCCAAUCAGAACGGCGCCCGGCGGUAAGAAGUACGUGCGGUGUCCGUGUAACUGCCUGCUGGUGUGCAGGGCGUCGGCGCAGCGCAUCGCCUGCCCCAGGCCGUACUGGUGUGUACUGGAACGUACUGGUUUGUACUGGUCUGUACUGGGAGGGGUUACUGGGUUAUACUGGGGUGGGUUAUAGUGGGUUAUACUGGGCUGUACUGUGUUAUACUGGGCUGUACUGCGUUAUACUGGUCUGUACUGGGUUAUACGAGGCUAUAGUGGGUGAUACUGGGUUAGACUGGGAUAUACUGGGGUUAUACUGGGUUAUACUGGGUUACACUGGGAUAUACUGGGUUAUACUGGGUUACACUGGGAUAUACUGGGUUAUACUGGGUUAUACGGGGCUAUACUGGGUUAUACUGGGCUAUACUGGGUUAUACUGGUUGUACUGGGUUAUACUGGGAUAUACUGGGCUAUACUGGAUUAUACUGGGAGGGACUGGGAAGAACUGGGAGGGGACUGGGGGUGUUCCUAGUUCCUCCCAGUAUAAACCAGUUCUCCCAGUAAGCGGCUCCUGGUCCAUACUGGGGGCACUGGGGGGGUUCCCAGUGGCUCCCAGUGCCUCCCAGUAUAACCCAGUUCUCCCAGUAAGCGGAUCAUCAACCUGGGCCCGGUGCAGACGGGCGCGCCCAGCCCUGACCCCGCCCCCGGGGGCGUGCGCGUGGCCUGCGCCCACUGCGGGGGGCCUUUCCUGUGGGCGGAGCUCCCCGAACGCUCAUUGGCUCGCUGCCCGCACUGCCGCAAGGUGUAAGUCAGGCACCGCCCCCUUUUCCCCGCGGACACGCCUCCUUUUAUGUGUGGGUGUGGCCUCGCCCCUCUCCGGAGCUGACCACGCCCCCUCUGGCCCCGUCCAGGUCUGCGAUUGGCCGGCGGUUCCCACGGCGACGCUGCCUCUGCUGCCUAUUGGCCGCCCUGCUGAUGGGCGGGGCCGCGGCUGGGCUGGCGGUGAGGGGUGGGGAUAAAAGGGGGUGGGGAUAAAGGGAGUAAUGGGUGGGGCUUGAAGGGGGAGGGUGUUUGAGGGGUGGGACUUGAGUGGGUGGGGCCUUAAUGGGUGGAGCUUUAAAGGAGGAGGGGAGUAAAUUGGGUGGGAGAUGGAGGGCGGAGCUUUAAAGGGGGAGGGGCUUUAAAGGGUGGAGCUUAAAUGGGAGGGCAUUAAAAGGGGGAGUGGCUUUCAAGGGUGGGGCCUAAGUAGGUGGGAUUUGAAAUGGGAGGGGCUCUUAAGGGGUGGAGUUUAACAGGGUGGGAAUUUAAACGGGUGAGGGUUAAAGGGGUGGGGCUUUAAUGGGUGGGGCUUAAGUGGGUGGCGUUUUAAUAGGUGUGACUUAAGCGGGUGGGGUUU
rnacentral:lncRNA from 1 species